UCUGUGUCCCUAGUGUCUGUCACACCAUUACUCCCAGUGUCCCCAAUGUCUGUGUCUCCAUGUCUCCCAGUGUCCCCAUGUCUGUGUUCACAAGUGCUCCCAGUGCCCCAAGUGUCUCAGAGCCCCCAUGUCUCCCAGUGUCCCAAAGUGUCUCAGUGUCCCCAUGUCUCCACUGUCACUAGUAUCCUAGUGACAGUGGAAACACUGAAACAUGGGGACACUGGGAGAAACGGGGACACAGACACUGGGAGACUAGGGGACUGGGCGACAUGGGGACACUGACACUGAUACAUAGGGACACUGAUGCCAGGCUGGCCUUCCAAUUCUUUGGACAGACAUGCCCCAUUUUUGGGCAUGUUCGCUCCUUUUGGCAGUUAUGGUCACAUGAUUCGCGUCAGUGGCCCACCCUUUUACCCCGCUCAUUGACUACCUGCUUCAUUGGACAUUGCUUAAAAGGUAAAAACAUAAAUUGGAGGGAGAUUAGCAUAGAGUAUGUGUUUUCUUAUAGCUGCAUCCUUUGAGUUUCCCUCCAACACCAACUCCAUCAGAUACAUGACACUUGAGAGGUAUGACUGUUUUAGUGUUUUUGGUUGAUAAGAUUCUGUAAUUAGGCCCCAUCAUAAUUGUCAGCACCAGGCCCACUGGGCUCUUAAUCUGGCCUUACAUGCGGAGUGUAAGUGGUAACAGGAUUGUCUAAAAUAAUGUCAGUGGCUGUGUGCGUGCAGCUACUGCACGCACACAGGAAGGGGCCCCUCUUGCAACAGUGUCUAACCUGGUAGAGUAAUAGGCAACGGGUCUGUGUUUCCC